rnacentral:rRNA from 1 species
AGGAGUUUGAUCCUGGCUCAGGACGAACGCUGGCGGCGUGCCUAAUGCAUGCAAGUCGCACGCACGGAGCUUGCUCCGUGAGUGGCGCACGGCUGAGUAGCACGUGCGAACCUGCCCCCCGGUGGGGGAUAACGCCGCGAAAGCGGCGCUAAUCCCGCAUCCGCUCGUGCAAGCGAGGAAAGCCUUCGGGCGCCGGGGGAGGGGCGCGCGGCCCAUCAGGUCGUUGGUGCGGUAACGGCGCACCAAGCCGAUGACGGGUAGCUGGUCUGUGAGGACAGACAGCCAGACUGGGACUGAGACACGGCCCAGACUCCUACGGGAGGCAGCAGCAAGGAAUUUUCGGCAAUGGGCGCAAGCCUAACCGAGCAACGCCGCGUGCGGGACGACGGCCUUCGGGUUGUAAACCGCUUUUGGGGGGGACGAGAUGGACGGUACCCCCCGAAUAAGCCCCGGCUAACUCUGUGCCAGCAGCCGCGGUAAGACAGAGGGGGCAAGCGUUGUCCGGAUUGACUGGGCGUAAAGGGCACGCAGGUGGUGGUCCAAGUGCGCGGUAAAAGCAGGCGGCUUAACCGCCUGAGGCCGCGCAGACUGGGCGACUGGAGCCAUGCAGAAGGUGGUGGAAAUUGCCGGUGUAGUUGGUGAAAUGCGUAGAGAUCGGCAGGAACACCCAGGGGGAAACCAGCACCUGGGCAUGGGCUGACACUGAGGGUGCGAAAGCGUGGGGAGCGAACCGGGAUUAGAUACCCGGGUAGUCCACGCGGUAAACGAUGGACGCUCGGCAUCUGGGCCUUAUCAACGGGCGUGG